rnacentral:rRNA from 1 species
AGAGUUUGAUCCUGGCUCAGAUUGAACGCUGGCGGCAUGCCUUACACAUGCAAGUCGAACGGUAACAGGUCUUCGGAUGCUGACGAGUGGCGAACGGGUGAGUAAUACAUCGGAACGUGCCCGAGAGUGGGGGAUAACGGAGCGAAAGCUUUGCUAAUACCGCAUACGAUCUACGGAUGAAAGCAGGGGACCGCAAGGCCUUGCGCUCAUGGAGCGGCCGAUGGCAGAUUAGGUAGUUGGUGGGAUAAAAGCUUACCAAGCCGACGAUCUGUAGCUGGUCUGAGAGGACGACCAGCCACACUGGGACUGAGACACGGCCCAGACUCCUACGGGAGGCAGCAGUGGGGAAUUUUGGACAAUGGGCGCAAGCCUGAUCCAGCCAUGCCGCGUGCAGGAUGAAGGCCUUCGGGUUGUAAACUGCUUUUGUACGGAACGAAAAGA